GACGAACGCUGGCGGCGUGCCUAAUACAUGCAAGUCGAGCGCUUCUUUCCUCCCGAGUGCUUGCACUCAAUUGGAAAGAGGAGUGGCGGACGGGUGAGUAACACGUGGGUAGCCUACCCAUCAGAGGGGGAUAACACUUGGAAACAGGUGCUAAUACCGCAUAACAGUUUAUGCCGCAUGGCAUAAGAGUGAAAGGCGCUUUCGGGUGUCGCUGAUGGAUGGACCCGCGGUGCAUUAGCUAGUUGGUGAGGUAACGGCUCACCAAGGCCACGAUGCAUAGCCGACCUGAGAGGGUGAUCGGCCACACUGGGACUGAGACACGGCCCAGACUCCUACGGGAGGCAGCAGUAGGGAAUCUUCGGCAAUGGACGAAAGUCUGACCGAGCAACGCCGCGUGAGUGAAGAAGGUUUUCGGAUCGUAAAACUCUGUUGUUAGAGAAGAACAAGGACGUUAGUAACUGAACGUCCCCUGACGGUAUCUAACCAGAAAACCACGGCUAACUACGU
rnacentral:rRNA from 1 species